rnacentral:rRNA from 1 species
AGGGUUUGAUCAUGGCUCAGAUUGAACGCUGGCGGCAUGCCUUACACAUGCAAGUCGAACGGUAACGCGGGGCAACCUGGCGACGAGUGGCGAACGGGUGAGUAAUAUAUCGGAACGUGCCCAGUCGUGGGGGAUAACGUAGAGAAAUUUACGCUAAUACCGCAUACGAUCUAAGGAUGAAAGCGGGGGACUCGCAAGGGCCUCGCGCGAUUGGAGCGGCUGAUACCAGAUUAGGUUGUUGGUGAGGUAAAAGCUCACCAAGCCGACGAUCUGUAGCUGGUUUGAGAGAACGACCAGCCACACUGGGACUGAGACACGGCCCAGACUCCUACGGGAGGCAGCAGUGGGGAAUUUUGGACAAUGGGCGAAAGCCUGAUCCAGCAAUGCCGCGUGCAGGAAGAAGGCCUUCGGGUUGUAAACUGCUUUUGUACGGAACGAAACGGUCUGCCCUAAUACGGUGGGCUAAUGACGGUACCGUAAGAAUAAGCACCGGCUAACUACGUGCCAGCCGCCGCGGUAAUACA